rnacentral:lncRNA from 1 species
AUAUAUAUAUAUAUNAAGUUUGUUAAUGUGCGGAUGCUUGUUUUUCAGUUGGUAGGUUUUAACAAGUUUUAAGAUCAAUGACGCUUAAAUAAUUUUCACCUUUCUCCUUUCUCUCAAUCCUUUUCUAUUUCAUCUCUCUCACUCCAACAUUUUCUUCUUUGUCAUCUUUACUGUUGUUCCAAUUGAAAAAAUAAAAUAAAAUCAGAGACCCUUGCUUAACUCUAAUUUACCUUUCUCACUUAUCCAAUUUGUUUCUCUCUCAUCUCCAUACUCUCCUUCAGCCAUACACAACAACCCGCGACACCGUAAUUUGUUGCUCUUGCUCUGUUCGUUCAUUUGGAGGAUGUGUUAUAUAUUUUUCCUUCUUAUUAUUAUUAAAUUUCAUUUUUAAAUUAAAUCAUGUAAAUAAAACCUUCAUAAAUCAAUUAAAUUUUCAUAUAUCAUUUAUAAAUCUACAUCAUAUCUCAUUAUAUUUUUAAAGAACAAGAUAUUUUCCCUAUUGUCCUUUUCCCUUUACACAAAGUGUUUCUUUUUCCUUUCUCUUUUGGUAUGGUAUACAUUAUAUAAGAUUACAACAUAGAAUUAAGAAUUGUACUCCUAGGGAGCUCUUAUAUACCUAUUUCUUUAAUUUUCUUAUAUCCUUUUUUAUCACUGAAUCAACUUCUGCAGGCAUUUAGAAUAAAUUUUAACCACUGUGCAAGAUAAAAAACUGUAAGGUUUCUGAUUUUUUUUUCAAUUGGGCAACAAUAGAGAUGACAGAGAGAAAAUGUUAGAGUGAGAGAGAUGAAAGAGAAAGGAUUGAGAGGAAUGAGGGAGGUGAGUAAGGGUUUGGAGUUUUUUUUAGUUUUGAGAAUGAAAAUUAUUUAAAUACCCUUCACCUUAAAACUUAGGAUCCAUGAUAUAUGAUGGUAUUUUUGUCUACUAUAAUCCGAUACACAUUGUUAAAACGUACCAACUGAAAAACAAGCGUAAGCCCGUUAACAAAACCCAUAUAUAUAUA